CACUCUCGAGGGAAAUUCUCACCGUGAACGAAGGCCCUGCUCUGAGGGGUACGGGACUGGCAGCAGGCCUCGUUCUUAUGACCACAUGGAGGAACGUGUCUCGUGUGACAAGUAAACUGUCUUUUUAGGGCAUGGUAUUUACGUAGAGAAAUUGAAGGUCUGUCACCUCCUAAUCUUUUUUUUUGACACCUUCAGACCCUUGCUAUAUAUUGGAAAUAGAAACAAUUGUGUUUGCUUUGUCAGGCACUUUUCCCCCCCCUUUUUUUUUAAGGUAGGAAAACUAAUUUCUGGGUGUGAAGAGGAAGAAAUGCAACAACCUUCCCUGUGCUGCUCAGUUCGUGUGAGAUGCAAAGUGUCCUCAGGAAAUGCGUGCUGACCUUUGUGCCAGGGGCUGUGCCUUUAUUUAUUUUACACCCGUUGGAACUUGAGGGGAAGCAAUGGCUUGGAAAUGGCGGUGUCACCCAGGAGCCCGCGCAGUGAACUGCAGUCUCCUUGUUUGAUCUGUCGAAAACCACCGUGAUGACAACAGAAUGUUUGCAUCAUUUCUGUGCUGUGUCAGUACAGCCCUGAGGAGCAGGGCAGCUCGUGCUGGAAGUGGAUGGCAUUGCAGUAUGAAUGAAGGUCGGUGUAGGAGCUGGUGGGAGGAAGGGAGUCCAGGCUAAUGAACUCUGAAGCAUCUCCUGCUCAGGUACCAGAGGUGGCAGUAAUGAUG